rnacentral:pre_miRNA from 1 species
AUAUGAAUCACUUGGAGAUCUUGUUAAAAUGCAGAUUCUGAUCCAAGAGGCCUGGGUAGGACUUGAGAUUCUACAAUUCUAAAAAGAUCCCAGAUGAUGUUGAU